CAUAACUUUGAAAUAGCAAAAGAGGAAACAACCCCUUACAGUCUCACAUAAUGUGUCAUUGAAUGAAAUACAAGUCAAUGGAAGAAUGCCAAUUAAUCAACUAAUCGUACAGAACUCUACAAAAUACAACUCAGAUGAUCUGUCGGCUAACCCUUUCUCUGUUUAAUUUUCUUUAAUUUCAUGCUGACAGAUGCAGCCAAAAAACAAGGCACAAAAGUGGUGGAAGCCGAGGAAAAAAUUAAAACCUGGCUGAAGUACAGUGGAGACCGAAAUGGAGGAAGAAAAAAAAGAGCAACAGAAAAAGAAAAGCAGAUGCCUCCCCCUCAUGCAGAUUCCAGCAGCUGCGAAAGUGAAUGAAAAGAUGCUGCUACUUCUCCUCCUCUGCUCCAUCUUCAUCCUAAGAGCCACACACAAUCUAAUUUGCUUCAAAUCUGC